CAGGCACCCAAGCCUAAUUCCUGGCAUAUUCACACUGUUCUGCAAACAUGGAGUAUGUCUUGGCUUCUCCAUCAUGGAGCAGGUGGAGUCGGUGAACGUGCCAUUCUCCAUUUUACGGAGCAGAUUCACCAAAUGUCCGGAGGUAGUCAUUUAUGAUAAUGCCUGUCAGCUCCACACUUAC